rnacentral:rRNA from 1 species
AGAGUUUGAUUUUGGCUCAGGACGAACGCUGGCGGCGCGCCUAACACAUGCAAGUCGAACGAGAGAUGAGGAGCUUGCUCUUCAAAUCGAGUGGCGAACGGGUGAGUAACGCGUGAGGAACCUGCCUCAAAGAGGGGGACAACAGUUGGAAACGACUGCUAAUACCGCAUAAGCCCACGGCUCGGCAUCGAGCAGAGGGAAAAGGAGUGAUCCGCUUUGAGAUGGCCUCGCGUCCGAUUAGCUAGUUGGUGAGGUAACGGCCCACCAAGGCGACGAUCGGUAGCCGGACUGAGAGGUUGAACGGCCACAUUGGGACUGAGACACGGCCCAGACUCCUACGGGAGGCAGCAGUGGGGAAUAUUGCACAAUGGGGGAAACCCUGAUGCAGCGACGCCGCGUGGAGGAAGAAGGUCUUCGGAUUGUAAACUCCUGUUGUUGAGGAAGAUAAUGACGGUACUCAACAAGGAAGCGCCGGCUAACUACGUGCCAGCAGCCGCGGUAAAACGUAGGUCACAAGCGUUGUCCGGAAUUACUGGGUGUAAAGGGAGCGCAGGCGGGAGAACAAGUUGGAAGUGAAAUCCAUGGGCUCAACCCAUGAACUGCUUUCAAAACUGUUUUUCUUGAGUAGUGCAGAGGUAGGCGGAAUUCCCGGUGUAGCGGUGGAAUGCGUAGAUAUCGGGAGGAACACCAGUGGCGAAGGCGGCCUACUGGGCACCAACUGACGCUGAGGCUCGAAAGCGUGGGUAGCAAACAGGAUUAGAUACCCUGGUAGUCCACCCCCGUAAACGAUGAUUAUUAGGUGUUGGAGGAUUGACCCCCUCAGUGCCGCAGUUAACACAAUAAGUAAUCCACCUGGGGAGUACGACCGCAAGGUUGAAACUCAAAAGAAUUGACGGGGGCCCGCACAAGCAGUGGAGUAUGUGGUUUAAUUUGACGCAACGCGAAGAACCUUACCAAGUCUUGACAUCCCUUGACGAACAUGGAAAUAUGUUUUCUCUUCGGAGCAAGGAGACAGGUGGUGCAUGGUUGUCGUCAGCUCGUGUCGUGAGAUGUUGGGUUAAGUCCCGCAACGAGCGCGACCCUUAUGGUCAGUUACUACGCAAGAGGACUCUGGCCAGACUGCCGUUGACAAAACGGAGGAAGGUGGGGAGGACGUCAAAUCAUCAUGCCCCUUAUGACUUGGGCUACACACGUACUACAAUGGCGUUAAACAAAGAGAAGCAAGACCGCGAGGUGGAGCAAAACUCAGAAACAACGUCCCAGUUCGGACUGCAGGCUGCAACUCGCCUGCACGAAGUCGGAAUUGCUAGUAAUCGUGGAUCAGCAUGCCACGG